GGGGGGGGUUCGGAGUAAAUGAAAGCAUUCUUGGUUUCAGGUGUGCUGCACAAGGGGAUAUUACCAUAUCUGAAGGGGGGUCGGGUGUGUUAUUUUCCUCUACAUUCUCAUCUCCUAUGUAAUGUAUCAUCCGUGUAAAUAUAAUGAAGUUUAACUGCACAAAAAAUCCUUUUUUACCCGACAGGUAAAAAAUGUUUCCAACAAAGAAAAUGAACACCAAGGAGACAGUUGUGUCCCCGUUGAAUAUUAAACACAUUACAUUUGAGUCAUAGUCUGUAUUUUGGCGAUUCGGGCCAGUUGAAUUAAAAGUAAUAGCAGCUUUGAAACUGUCUAGCCGCCGUGCGACAUCAUAGCAAAAGGCAUUCACCGAAGAUCUCUUACUCAUAGGGAGCACAAAUAAGCAGACGCUCUUUGUUCCUGACACACUAACCUGCGUUUGUUAUAUGAAAAAAGUCACUUUCAGGAGUGUUAAAGUUUGAGCAUUGAAGGUGAAGGCUUCCAUUAAGUGCUUCAGAUGAAGACGUGACCUCUAUUUCACACGGUUCAUCCUCUCUAUCAUAAUCCCUCCUGGCGCACACACUCUUCACUUACAAAAGCACAAAUAUGUCCACACACAACUUGUUCCUGUCAGACUCCGUCCAGCUCAGACACUCCGAUAUAAUGACUCUGCUCCCAGAGUCCUCAACACAAAGAAUUCCAUAAGUCUCCAAUAUUUAGUCACAGAGGAGGUAGAUGUGGUCGCACUGGGGGAAUAUAAUAAUUCAAAUCACUUACGGCUGAUCCAGAUUCUUUUUCAUUUGUAAGGUGUGAAAUCACCUGUAAUGUGUGUAAUCUAUGAUCCUAUGUUACAGCUCAGCAUUUAAGCUCCAGUUAAAACUUUAAUAUGUUUGUAUGUGUCGAGGAUUAUUGAGCUUCGAAUCGUCGGUAAUGAGAACUGUGAGCGAGUCUACUCCAUCCUAGUGCUACUUCAGUGAGACAGUGAUUUAAAAUUGACAUUAAGUGACACAAAGUAAAGGGGCCCAAAAUUGAAAUCCGGUGCACAUUUGCUGUUAAACAAGUGGGAACAUUGGGCCCCAUUAGAAAGAUGCGAGGGUCAUCAGAAAUGAGGUGUGCUAGUCAUGAGGUACAUCCCACUGGGAAAGGUUGGUCUCUGGAUAACUGCAGUCGGACUGUAGUUGUCGUGGGAUGAGCUGAUGAUUGAGCGGUGUAGGAAAAGGACUGGUCCAUGAGCAAAGUGGUUGAGGUAAACACUCAAGGUCACCGCAGUGAAAGCGUCUGUCUUCCCCCCGUUAAGCAGUGUGGGAAAGAGCAGAGAGGAGUUGCAGUCUUCCUGCCUGUCAAACUACCACGUCCCUCACAGUGAAAUGAUGGGAAUUGCAGGAGAAGAGCAGAGUGGCCAUGUUUGCAGAUGAGGAAGAGGUUGUGGGUGAAUGACUUCUCCAGGCAACAAUCACCAAAAUGAUUGCAUCAAAAUGCUGGCAUUAAGGGCCUAUAGUUGGACCUUGCAAAUGUAUUUGUCAUUUUAUAAAUAAGGGUAACGUAAAGUGCGACUUUCAGCUAAUAGCAGCUUGUAUACUGCAUAAAUGGAAUAAAAUAACCCCACUGCAUUUAUAUACCUAUACAACUUCAACUGUUUAAAUGUAAAUAUAUUCAUAUAAAAAAUGUGUGCAUGCGAGUUAGAAUGUAAAGAAGUAGGUUUGAUUGUGCAAAACUCUGUUUUCUUGUUCAUUGUAUUAGGGCAACAUUGUGCAGUUAGACCAUUUGUUCAGGCUAUAGUGUGGAGAUGAUAAUUAUAACCGCAGUCAGUGCUUUUUGUUUAUUAUCUACUUGUAAUUACAUAAAAGGAGAGAGGAACUCAUUGAAAGAUUAACGAACAUGAUCAGGCACUAAGGGUCGUGAGAGAUACACGUAGGUCUUGUGUCAGUCAGCAGAGUAACGUGUCUGCACACACAUGCAUGUGUGUUUGUAUGUGAGUGAAGCUUUGUUUGUUAGCAUCCCCGUCAGUGGAUGAAGACGGAUUAAUGACACCUUCAAAUUUAGGAUAUAGGAUGAUCCUUGUCCAUUGAAUGAGACUGAGUCCGUUGAAGAAGUGGAAGAAGCCAGAUGUUCCACGCCUAUAACCUGGUGUCAUUAUCAGGGGCCCUCAAAGUCCCCACAAAUGGGGUCAACAUUUUUCUAACCCAAAAAUACAAAUGCAUGCCAAAGAGGGUUAAAGCUAUUUCCAACCUUUCUUUAUAAAUGUGGGUAAUUAAGGACAAUUUCUAAUAAAUUCACAUUCCCCUAACUGUAACUAAUAUACCAAUGAACGAGUCAUUGCAACAAUGAACUAUAUUACAUAUUACCCCAUAUCGUAAUCUGUGAAAUGCAUUUGUACAACUUGACUUUCAGAAUCUUAGGAUUCCAGUGCAAGCUAAAACCUCUCAAUCCGCCAAUAAUGAGAAGUCUCUCCACUCUGGGUGUGGACUUGCUGACACAAAGCUUCAGAGUGAUACAUGGCUUAUGAGUGUGUGACUAAUAGAAAGAGAGGGAUAAUCCCUCUCACUGCUUGGGUCUGCAACUGCCUGGAUGGAAGCGGGAAGAGGGGCUCAUACUCUGCCUUUCAUCCCAAAAGAAGGAAUGAGUUAAAAAAAAAGAAAAAGAAACUUAAUCCCAGGCAGCCAGUACAUUGUCAUCACCAUGGUAACGACAAGGAUGAAAAUUAAUCUAUAAGUCUGUUAUUGUUGUUGAUGGUUUCCUGCAGCAUAUUUUUGGGCUUUCCAUUACAUUAACUAUGUCUGAAUGUGGGGAGAGCAGAUGCAACAUUUGUGACCUUUGGUUAGCAGCUAUUGUAUUCACCAGGUAUAUCGUUUUUAUCGUGUGUCUGCAACAAAUUGUAUGAACCCCAAGCAAUUCAUCAGUCCUAACUGUAAUGGCUAGCUUUCCUGUACAAAGAAAUAAAAUGAUUAUAUAAUAACAUGAAUGAAAAUAAUAUGUUCAAAGAAGCAGCUGUUUGAUGAUGAUGAUUGUACCUCCCUCACAUGGAGGCCUUCUACCUCUGACGUUAUAACGUUUUGUAUUUUUUAUAAUGCCUCGUAUGGCACUGCUGCGCUGUUCAAACCAAGCCGGUAAUGGAGGCUGGGAACGGAAAGGGAUGUACAGAUGAAUGGAUUCAAAGAGCUCUUAGGUGCGUGAAGAGGGGACGUGGGGGAAGCUGCUUUGAUCAAAGCUGCUACUAAUCCCAAAAACAUUUGAGUAAUGAAGCUAAACUAAGAUGAUGUCACUGUAAAGACAUUAAAAAGGCUUUGAUUAUUUUCCUGGUUCCUUGAGGAGUGCACUGUACCUUUAAAGGUGUGUUCAAUUACCCGGCUAGGCUAACGUCCAGAAAUUAAGCUACGAUUUGGUUGAGGGACGAACUGGCCACACUCACGUGGGUUCCCUGAACUAGCACCUCAAGAUGUAAGAAGGCAAUGGCUUCAUGAUCUUCAUGAAAAAUUGUGCAUAUUUUUGUUAUCUUUGCCUCUUCUAAUGAUAUAUUUGAAUAUUUCUGCAUACUGGAAUCCCUAAAUGCAAUUGCAUAACUUUGGCUGAGACCCUUGUGGAUCAACGAUUUAACACUUGUCACUAUAAGAGCUGAGCUGCGUCAGGUAAUGUAUGCUGCUUUCGGUACGUACUGUUGACUUUGAGUGUCACAUUAUGUGAGAUGUCUGUGCAGCAUUCCAACCGUAACAUUUGCGCAGAUGCAAAGUGAUAGAAUAAUGAGCAUCUUGCAUGCUUUUUAGUCUUCAUGAACGGUCUAAUUAGGCAACAAGACAAUCCUCUCAUAGACCCGUGUAGACAGAGUGAUUGAUGGCGGUCAUAAAGUUUGUUCGCAUUUCCCUUAGGUACUCCAAAGAUUGUUCUGUGCGUUGGCAGUGAAGAAUGGUAGUGAUAUGAUGCUCAUACUGAUAUUAGCUGUUUUCCUUUCUUUCUACAGACACUGCCUUUUAUUACAUAUAACGCAUUCUCUUUAAUCUGUAAAUAUUUAUAUGUCAAACGCUAACAUCCACAGGAACAGUAACGAGUCUGGCAUCAUAAAUCUCACAGGUCAUUCACAGAUAAUCUGACUUGCCACUUGCCAUUCCCCUCAGACAAAGGAAAGAGGUGAAUGCAAAAAACGCAAGAGAAAAUCAAAGAAGGAAAGACGUGUGGAAAUUCAUUAUUCAAAGCAUGAAGGGUGUGUUUUCAGAAGUACUGUGAAAUCGCCAGGCAGCAGAAAACACUGGAGGGCAUCAAAUCAAACCUCUGCCAUCAAAUCCUGAUUCUUUAAGUCACAAAACAGCAUUCUCUGCUAUCAGCUCUGCUUAUAAUUCAGUUCAACCCGAGUCAAAUAAAGCUUCGUCUCAGUUCAUCUUAACCUCCUACAAUGGAAGUUGCAAUAACAGUUUAGAAGUUACGAGUACAAACUCAUCGGGAUGCUGCAAUCACUAAAGUAGUUUCUUUCUAAAAUAAGCCAAACUAAAGCUUCCCGGGUCCCAUUUCAAAGUCUAUUUCAUCCAGAUCUUUCCUUUAGUUUCUCCGGCGGUACUGACACUUGAUCAAUGAGCAGGAAUACGAUUGUUGAUGUCAUCUGUUAUAUUGGACAGCUUCUUAUUGUGUGUGGGUUGGGCCUAUUAUCUUUUACUAUGACAGUGUCACUCAACACAUUUAUUAAUCAUUGGUUAUAUCACAACAGGGUCAGUAAUCGGUACCUCUGACCAAAUAUGGACCAUCCAAUGAGCACCUUAUUUUAACACUGUGUGAAAUGUCCGUUUCGCAAACCCUCAAAAAUGGAAUAUCUAAUAAUUUAUGAUGCUUUUACAAAUGUUUUUUGUAAACGUACAUUCUUCAUGUGGUAUUCUUGACUGCUAUUGGUCAGCAAGUAGCGUCUGCAUUGUGCUACGGUCUGACCACUGCUGUGCUGCCAGAUUCUCCCAGAAAUUGGGACACUGGUCCUUGCCGUUGAGUGGAAAUGGAUAUUUCUGAACCAAUUUAGCACCGUGCUAUCUCAUCACAAGACCAGAGUGAGAAACAAAUUGUCAGAAGGGAGACAGCAAUGUUGGAACAUUGGGAAUUUGAUAAAGAGAAAAGAGCCAUCAUUCCUCAACUAGGUACUUAUCACAGAGUACAUUUGGACGUGUCCUAGUAUACAGGUGUCCCCAAAAUCCCUCUGUUGUUCUUUUUUCACUGGACUUUACACGUGGAACAAACAAAAAGUUCUCAAUAGUGAAAUAACAACAAUAACAAGCCCUCUCAAUGGUCAUUUUGAAGCGCAGAGCAUUGCAUUGAGGAAUUUGAGGCACUACGGAUACAUUUACACACUCAGUAUUUGGACCCCUAAAUAAAAUGGAGGACGGUAUUAUAGUUAGUUAUAGCCCUGUCACAGCUUACUAGCACACUAAAUAGAACAAAGCCAUCAAGGGGCUAAUGUAUAAUUGCAUUGUGCAUUAUUAGUGUUUUUUUACUAUGAAACAUAUUUAAAAUACUAUUUAAUAGUAUUUUGUCUGCAAACAAACAAUGAAACAUUAAGAAAGCUUUCCUAAUGGCAUCAAAAUGCUGAAAGCUGUCCUUACAGUAAGGUAGAGAAAGUAUAUUAUAUAUAGUGUUUCUGGGUAUUUACUAAGCUCCAAAUGAGCUGAAAGAUAAUACAGAAACAUCUGAUGUGUGCAUGAUGAAGGAACAUCUACAAAGCAGCUGUCUGCUUUGACAUGCUCUACUGUGCAUUGCAAUUUCAUUCCUAAUAAACAAGCAACCUGCCGCGUCACAAUCCCUCGACAAUCUGUGAUGUUGGACAUGUACACUUCACGGCACCUUUCAAUUUCCUCGUAAGCUGAAUUGGUCUAUGCAGCUUGUAAAAGACGCGCGUGAUGAGACAAACCUUUAGAUAUAUUGCUGCGUCAUCAGUAAAAUGUACAUUGGUGUUAUUAAACAGCUGAAGACUUUCAUGGUGUUCCAAUACUAAGAAAUAUGCCUUGCAGUUGCAUUGAUAUGAAUUUACCAGAACAAAAUAGAUAUUAUUGCUCUAUUGAAACGCUGUCCUGUACAUUUGUAUAAUCCUGUAGAGGCAUAUUAAGUACAACAUGUAAGUAAGACCACUGCUGAAAAUACAAUCAUUAAUGAGUGUUUGAUGAUGAGGAGAUCAAUGACAGCCCUGACUAAAUACAACAGAACAUACAUUUCAUUGAAAAAAAUCUACAAAUCAUUCGUAGUAAUUGUAAACUGUACAAAGUCCGUCAACCUUAACCGUCGAAAACACAGGAUUUUAAACUGCACUUUCCAAAUAGACUGUAAUUAAUGUGAUGGAUCAGUUCUUUGGUGUUUUCCCUGAAUUACGCUUAACACAAUCACACUUGCACCGGCAAUAAGAAAAGCUGUUGAGAGAGUGAAAUCAAUAAUUGCUUUGUUCUGAGGUGUCACUCACAAUCAAACUCAAAUCCACGGUCUCUUAUUUCUCUGUAUUCCUCUGUCUUUUUAUAUUUCUCUCCGUCUUUCUAAAUAAUUCCUAACGCGAGAUGCGUGUCGGUGUGCGUGUGUAAUUACUACGGAUACCGUUUCAGCAAGGGAGGGUAAACUGUGUUCAGUGAUUAAUCAUCACGCAGCCGUGUUGGUUUGGUCGCACUGUACAUGUGCACACACACACACAUGCAUUCUGUCAAGCAUGCGUGUGUGUGCGCGUGUAUGUGUGUGUGUGUCUCAUGUAUCUGCAGCAAUUAUAACUGAAAGAACGCUCACUCACUCUCACUCUCACACACACACACACAAAAUCCUGCAGCCAAAGGAGAAUGAGUAAACUCUGAAGUACGUGGUCAGGGUACGAAUAACCACUGGACUGUACGGUCCCUGACUGCGGUGCAGUGGUUGGCAACCUCUGCAACACAGAGGCAGAUACGCACCUAAUACGCGCAGGAGCUGUAGAAGCAGAAAGAAAAAGUUGUUGAUGAAAUAUCGUUUUGAGUGACACAUUUGGUAGGACAUUACUUGGCUUUCAUCCCUCUUGGGAAAUGCCAUUGAAGUCUUUCUUCGUUGUGAUUUAAAUUGUGUCCUAUCCAAUAGUAAGAAAACCAACAACCCAGAAAUGUAAUUUAUCAUGUUAAUGUUUGGGGUAAUUUGAAACAGACCCUUAAAGAACAAUGGGAGGGCAGCGCUUGGAAAAACGUAAUAUGAGAUCAAUGAUGCACAGUUGUUCAUUAGAUCUGUUUCCUCUGUCACCGUGAGUGCUGACUAUGAUGGAAUUGUCAUUUGUUAUCGUCUUCAGAAGAAGCACAGGGACCUCUGCUGGCUGUUUGAGUUCCUUCAGCCAGUCAGCAAAAGGUUUUCAGCAGUCGAGCCUUUAUAUUUGUAUGACCAAGAAUGAUUACAUUACAUUACAGGUCAUUUAGCUGACACUUUUAUCUAAAGCGACUUUAAACCAUUGGCUUUUAUAUUUGGCCCAGGGAGCAAAUAGGGGUUAGGUGUCUUGCUCAGGGACACUUCGGCUUGAGACAUGGGGCAGCCGGGACUCAAACCUCAAACCUCCAACCUUGCGCUUCCCAGCACACCCGCUCUACCCCCUGCGCCACAACAACCCCAGUGAGCUUUUUUCAGCUGUCUUUAUAACUCUUAAAGAAGCGCUCAGCUCAUCUGGACAGGAUCCAGGACCCAGAACAGGAUUUUAAAGGAGAUUUGAUUGACCGCAAAAGUAACAACGUACCGACUGUCAUCACUUCUUAAUCCAAGUGAUUGGGGACAUACCGUAGUUGACGAUACAUAUUUUUGCAAAUUAAACCAACCCACUUCAAACAAGUGAGAAGAGCGCAGAGGAAGAAAUCCCUUCAGUUACACAAACAACAUCCCUUUAUCUCUGGCAGACAAUGUGCUUCACUCGCCUUCAUUUCUCUCAUCUACCACCACGACUCUGUAGGCACACCCGGCUUCUCCAAGGGUUUCGCAGUCCGAAGCAGUGACAAGAAAAUUGUACACUCAUCCAGCCAGAAUCUUUAACGGGAAACAAGAACAUGUUGUUGUGUCAAUAAGAUGUUGUCACAAGGGGGAGCACUUGCACAAGAGAAUUGACUGACUUCACUUUUAAUCCAUCUAUCAAAGGUUUAGUGAAUAUAUAUUUCCCCAGACGUAGAUGCGAUAGAUUGUUGUUUUCCAAUUCGGAGUACUGGUGUAGAUAUUAUGACUGUGGGUGCAUAAAUGAAAAAUAACAAGUUCAUUU
ensembl:lncRNA